rnacentral:tRNA from 1 species
GGAGGCGUGCCCGAGCGGCUGAAGGGACCGGUUUUGAAAACCGGCGUGCGGGAAACCGUACCGGGGGUUCGAAUCCCUCCGCCUCCG